rnacentral:lncRNA from 1 species
GGGUGUGUUUGUGAUGUGGGUCAAUGGAACACCGUAUCAGAGAUUUCCCACAGUGUUCUAAUCAGAUACAAGCACCAGCUCUGGGAUUUGUUCAGACUCAGCGAGUGGUUCAGCAGCUGCCUAGAAGUCGUGGUCGGCCAAGGGUGGUAAUGGUAUGGGUAGAGGGCAGAGAGCACCGGGCAGAAAUGCUAAUCAGACUGAGGCGAGACAACCUAUGUUGGUUUAUGCUGCUAGACGUCGUGAGGACAGAGAUG